GUCGAACGCUGGCGGCGUGCCUAACACAUGCAAGUAGGACGCAGUUGCGAACGGGUGAGUAACGCGUAGGUAACUGCCUAUUAGUGGGGGAUAACUAUUGGAACCGAUAGCUAAUACCGCAUACUAGUAGAUUGACCUGCGUUGUAUUAGCUAGUAGGUAGGGUAAUGGCCUACCUAGGCGGCGGUACAUAGCCUGGCUGGGAGGGUGGUCGGCCAAACCGGGACUUAGACAAGGGCCAGGAUCCUACGGGGGGCAGCAGUAGGGAAUCUUCAGCAAUUGGGGGAAACCUGACCAAGCAACGCCGGGUGAGUGGAGAAGGUUUUCGGAGCGUAAAGCUCUGUUGUUAAGGAAGCGGUACUUAGCCAGAAAGGGACGGCUAACUACGUGCCAGCAGCCGCGGUAAUAC
rnacentral:rRNA from 1 species